GAUGAGAACGUAGCGAAAUGCGAUAAGUAAUGUGAAUUGCAGAAUUCAGUGAAUCAUCGAAUCUUUGAACGCACAUUGCGCCCUUUGGUAUUCCUUAGGGCAUGCCUGUUCGAGCGUCAUUUAAACCUUCAAGCUAAGCUUGGUGUUGGGUGACUGUCCGCUUCACGGCGGACUCGCCUCAAAAUUAUUGGCGGCCGGUACAUUGGCUUCGAGCGCAGCAGAAACGCGAACUCGGGCCCGUCGUAUUGGCUCCCAGAAGCUAUCUUCACAAUUUUGACCUCGGAUCAGGUAGGGAUACCCGCUGAACUUAAGCAUAUCAAUAAGCGGAGGA
rnacentral:misc_RNA from 1 species